UGCUUUUUUUUUAGUUACAUAGAUUGUUGUACGUAAAGCAGAACUGAUUUGAUAACUGUUAUUUUUAUUGACUGUUGACAAUUUCAAGAUGUUUUUUAAUUUUUUGAUUAUAUAACUUUUUUGUUAUCUUUAGGCCAAUUUGCACAGACUACAGCUGUAUCUACCUCUUGUGCUACACCUGUAUCUACCUCUUGUGCUACACCUGUAUCUACCUCUUGUGCUACACCUGGUAAGUUAAACAACUAUUAGCUUUUACUAUGCAAACUUUAUAAUAUGUUUAACUUUAGUUCCUUAGUCAUCUGCUGCAACUAGUAAUUUAAUAAACUAUUACAUUUAAUAUGUAUAUGCAUUUCUUGUUAUUUGCAAUAUUGAUUUUUUUUUACAACUUUGUAAUUUUAUUUUAAAAUCGUUAGUAUAAUAA